AGCCCCGUACACAAAAGCGCACGUGCUGUGAGCUCAAUGAGUAGGGCGGGACACGUGGUAUCCUGUCUGAAUAUGGGGGGACCAUCCUCCAAGGCUAAAUACUCCUGACUGACCGAUAGUGAACCAGUACCGUGAGGGAAAGGCGAAAAGAACCCCGGCGAGGGGAGUGAAACAGAACCUGAAACCGUGUACGUACAAGCAGUGGGAGCCCCACCACUAAGCCAGUGGUGAACUCCACAUACGCAUCCUUUGCUGAGGAUACGGUUAACGGAGCGAAAGCGACGUUCAACCGCAAAAGAAGCAGAGGGGGCUUAGUGGUGGGGUGACUGCGUACCUUUUGUAUAAUGGGUCAGCGACUUAUAUUCUGUAGCAAGGUUAACCGCAUAGGGGAGCCGGAGGGAAACCGAGUCUUAAUUGGGCGUUAAGUUGCAGGGUAUAGACCCGAAACCCGGUGAUCUAGCCAUGGGCAGGUUGAAGGUUGGGUAACACUAACUGGAGGACCGAACCGACUAAUGUUGAAAAAUUAGCGGAUGACCUGUGGCUGGGGGUGAAAGGCCAAUCAAACCGGGAGAUAGCUGGUUCUCCCCGAAAGCUAUUUAGGUAGCGCCUCGUGAAUUCAUCUCCGGGGGUAGAGCACUGUUUCGGCCAGGGGGCCAUCCCGGCUUACCAAUCCGAUGCAAACUGCGAAUACCGGAGAAUGUUAUCACGGGAGACACACGGCGGGUGCUAACGUCCGUCGUGAAGAGGGAAACAACCCAGACCGCCAGCUAAGGUCCCAAAGUCAUGGUUAAGUGGGAAACGAUGUGGGAAGGCCCAGACAGCCAGGAUGUUGGCUUAGAAGCAGCCAUCAUUUAAAGAAAGCGUAAUAGCUCACUGGUCGAGUCGGCCUGCGCGGAAGAUGUAACGGGGCUAAACCAUGCACCGAAGCUGCGGCAGCGAACGUAUCACCCAAGACAACUUUACACAGUUGACGACUGACGGAGCGAAGCGACGUCAAAGCGUUUUACAACGUCGAGUUGGCUUAGGGAUACGUU
rnacentral:rRNA from 1 species